rnacentral:rRNA from 1 species
AUUGAACGCUGGCGGCAGGCCUAACACAUGCCAGUCGAGCGGAUGAAGGGAGCUUGCUCCUGGAUUCAGCGGCGGACGGGUGAGUAAUGCCUAGGAAUCUGCCUGGUAGUGGGGGAUAACGUCCGGAAACGGGCGCUAAUAUCGCAUACGUCCUGAGGGAGAAAGUGGGGGAUCUUCGGACCUCACGCUAUCAGAUGAGCCUAGGUCGGAUUAGCUAGUUGGUGGGGUAAAGGCCUACCAAGGCGACGAUCCGUAACUGGUCUGAGAGGAUGAUCAGUCACACUGGAACUGAGACACGGUCCAGACUCCUACGGGAGGCAGCAGUGGGGAAUAUUGGACAAUGGGCGAAAGCCUGAUCCAGCCAUGCCGCGUGUGUGAAGAAGGUCUUAGGAUUGUAAAGCACUUUAAGUUGGGAGGAAGGGCAGUAAGUUAAUACCUUGCUGUUUUGACGUUACCAACAGAAUAAGCACCGGCUAACUUCGUG